GACGAACGCUGGCGGCGUGCUUAACACAUGCAAGUCGAACGGUGAAGCUCAAGCUUGCUUGGGUGGAUCAGUGGCGAACGGGUGAGUAACACGUGAGCAACCUGCCCUGGACUCUGGAAUAAGCGCUGGAAACGGCGUCUAAUACUGGAUAUGACAUUGAGCCGCAUGGUUUGGUGUGGAAAGUUUUUCGGUCUGGGAUGGGCUCGCGGCCUAUCAGCUUGUUGGUGAGGUAAUGGCUUACCAAGGCGACGACGGGUAGCCGGCCUGAGAGGGCGACCGGCCACACUGGGACUGAGACACGGCCCAGACUCCUACGGGAGGCAGCAGUGGGGAAUAUUGCACAAUGGGCGAAAGCCUGAUGCAGCGACGCCGCGUGAGGGAUGACGGCCUUCGGGUUGUAAACCUCUUUCAGCAGGGAAGAAAGUGACGGUACCAGCAGAAGAAGCCCCGGCUAACUCCGUGCCAGCCGCCGCAGUAAAC
rnacentral:rRNA from 1 species